GAUGAACGCUAGCGGCAGGCCUAAUACAUGCAAGUCGAACGGGAUCCAGAUCAAAGCUUGCUUUGGUUUGGUGAGAGUGGCGUACGGGUGCGUAACGCGUGAGCAACCUACCCUUGUCAGGGGGAUAGCCCGGCGAAAGUCGGAUUAAUACCGCAUGACAUCAUUGAGAGGCAUCUUUCGAUGAUCAAAGAUUUAUCGGACAAGGAUGGGCUCGCGUGACAUUAGCUAGUUGGUAAGGUAACGGCUUACCAAGGCUACGAUGUCUAGGGGCUCUGAGAGGAGAAUCCCCCACACUGGUACUGAGACACGGACCAGACUCCUACGGGAGGCAGCAGUAAGGAAUAUUGGUCAAUGGACGGAAGUCUGAACCAGCCAUGCCGCGUGCAGGAAGACGGCCCUAUGGGUUGUAAACUGCUUUUAUACGGGAACAAACGUCGGUACGUGUACCGGUCUGAGUGUACCGUAAGAAUAAGGAUCGGCUAACUCCGUG
rnacentral:rRNA from 1 species